AAAUUCCUCCACAUGUAUACAUGCCGAAGAGAGUUCGGGACAGUAAACCGCCUUCACAGGGGAGUCUUUGACGAACCUGGUGUGAUGACGAACCUGCUGACAUUUCUGGAGCACAUUAAGAGAAGAGAGGGAAGGACCGUGGUGCUCCGUAUUCUUGGACACUUGGCGAGGUGCGUGAGGAACCGGGACUACAUACAGCAGCAGCUGGACCUGCUGGAGCAGUUCUGUCAGAACUGGGCCCUGAGAGUCAACUGGACAAAAUCAAAGUGCUGUUAGUGUGAUGUAUUCCCAAAGGAAGCUGCUCACCAUGGUGAUGCUAUCAGUGGUUUCCUCCAUCCCAUCGGUCCGAAUUUCUCCAGAUAACAUGAGUGGUCGACAAACAUGCGAAGAAACGGACAGAAAAGGACAGUGGAGGAGGAGAGGGAGACUCUAAGAGACCUCGUUGUACAAAGUAUCCUUUUAUUUUUAUGUGUUAACAGAACAGAUUCAUCUAUGGUCGUGAAGUUUACCAAUGAUUAUGAAAUGAUGGCGCGAGGCCAAAGCUGAUUGGUCAGAUGUUGAAAGGGGAGAGCGAGCUCAUGAGUUUUUCAGGUGAUGGUGAGCAACUUAUUUGGAUACCAUUUCUAGCUUUCAUUGAGAAUGCAGGUUUGUGACAGUGCUUUAUAAAACUCUGUUUGGAUUAAAUAUGCAUUCUAAUAUAUUGUAUUACGCAAUAAAAAUAUAAAGCAAAAUCAGUGAAGGAGGUUGACAAACGUGUUUAAUAGAAGUAGGAAGAAUUUCAAAGCCUGAAGGAAAAACUGAUGUAAUUGUAGCUUUAUAUAAUAGUCAGCCCUGUGAAUAUUGGCUAAAACCAAAUCUCUCUCUCUUGCUCUCUCUUACUCUUUCCCCCUCUCUUCUCUUUCUGUUUGCUGUGACUGACAAAGCUCUCAAAGGUUAGUGACCAAAGGAUACUUACCAUGAUCAAUAAGCUCAUCAGUGAAUCAACCACACACACACAGACACACACACACUCGUACGCACACACACUGGGUGUGUUUUUCCAAUAGCUGCCCCAAUCCCCACCUUCUGUAAAUAAGUAGUUUAUUAGUGGUGAGCAGUUGGCCCAUUGACAGCUGGUUGCAGAGCUUAGCGCAUGUGUGUGUGUGGUUGGAGUAAAUGAAGUGUGUAAACGAGCUUUUUAUGGUUCCGAAAGGGGUGAUGUUUUACACCCUAUUUAACUGUUCAUUGCUGCUGCCCACAUCACAAAGAAAAACACUUAAUCUUUACCAAAAUACGUCGUCCCAUAAAAACAAAAAGAAAGAAGCAACGUUAUGACAGUCCCUACCUAACAUAGGAACACUAUGCCGUAUAAGUCAAGAUGCUAGUUCUCCAGCCUUUCAUUUUGACAUGUUUGUACAUACACAUAUUACCAAAAGAUAUCUAACAAUACCUAUAUAACUAGAACCACAACAGACUCAGAGCCCAGGUCUUGAAUUUGCAUUAUAUGUUUCAUUAUUUUCUGCAUUUCAGUCAGCAUCAGCAUUAUUAAACUUCAAGUUAAAAGCCAAUAUUAGAGGCCUUUUCUUUCCUGGUAAGGACAGACUCCAUCUUUUCUGCCAGGCUAGCUGUCCUUUUACGUGACCAAGGACAUUCUCCCAGAGCUUCAGUUACAUUCCUCUUGGUCCAGUACAGUUCAGUUCUGAAGGAUUUCGUGCGUGUGAAGCGCUCAGAAGCGAACCGGCAUCAUCUGGCUGUUGAGCUCGAUAAGCCAGUCAUAGACCUAUCGACCGGUUUAUGUGAUAAAACAGUAACGUCACAGACAUGCUGAGAGUGCAUUUUUAGCACUUGUUUAUAAUAACCCAAGGACCAUAGGCUUGUGGAGCCACAAGCUGAGCAGCCGCAUGUUGUUAUGGUUUACAAGUGCUGACAUCUGGAUUGCCACCUGUAAAAGCUGAUCCCCACAAGUGAACAAAAUGCUCUAGUUUCAGCAAGACUUGCUCAGUGCAUGGGAAAACCGAGAACAUGGUAACGCUGUGGGGGUCCAUGAAUAGUUUAUGGAGUCCAUGUCCCUCAUAGCCAUCCUGAGCCAAAUCUGUCCUCACAUCCGGAUCACUCCGGCUUAUCUCCCGUGAGUGAUUCUGUGUGUGAUUGCAUUGAGAGGUGUGGGGAAAGAGCUGCUAUUGAAAGGAGCCGGACAGCGUGGCUUUAAGCAAGGAGCAGUGUUGGACUUGGGUUAAAUGAUUGUCAGGUUUAACCCAUGGAUACACAGUCAAAUUGAGGAAUAGGUACUGCUUAUGCAGAGGUUCAGAAUCAUGGAAAUAUGCUGCACGAGCUGUUUUCACUCAGCCGCCCACACACGCCCGUGCACACACACACACAGACACACACACACACACACACAAGCAGGUAUUGGUAUUGUACAAAUAACACUGGCUCACCAAAUACAUUGUCAGCCUGCCUGACUGAUUUGCUGGUAUAUACUAUUCCACCUCUCCUCAUUUUACAUUCUUUAUGUGUGUAUGUGUAUACCAUAAAGAUUAUGAGCAUGUGUUAUUCUAGGCUAGGUCAAGCAAAUAACACUCUGUAGACUCACCUCUUCUGUGUGUGUGUGUGUGUGUGUGUGUGUGUGUGUGUGUGUGUGUAUGCUGUCGCUUGUGGCAUACCUGUCUGCCACUGGGUCACCCGCCAAUGACCCCUGUUCUACCCAGCCCCGCCCUGCUGAGCCAACCAUGCUUCCAGGGUCUGUCCCUCCAGCCAGCAGCGUGUGCUGCAGACACAGGCCCCGCUCGAUAGCCUUACAGUUUGCUGGACUGUUCAAAUUCCUUUAGUCUGGUACUCAUUUCCCGGGUACUAAAGACUAAUUGCAAUCAUUGUCUCCUCUGGCAAUGAGCAACGCAGCAUCCUCGUAAACCCUGCACUAUGAACCUAACAAUCAGCCUGUCUGAGCAUCGUUCAUCACAGUCGUGAGUGUUGCCUUGUGUGACUACAGACUGGUAUCACAGCUGUGGCAAGCUUGUUCAGUUCUGCCUCAAAGCUCCGGUAUGCUGGCUAACUACUGACUCUCUUAUUCACAGGCUGAGUGAUAAAGGUGUUUGGCUGUAUAGCAACCAAUUUUACCAUGUGAUUGGUUGUUUGACUUGGAGGAGGUUGGGCCCUGUGUCUGACCUGCUGACAGGGUCAUGGAGAGCAAGGGCUUUCCCACUCUCAGUUUUCCUUGUUGUGCGAGCUCUGGGUGUUCCUCUUGCAGUCAACCUCAGCAGUUGUUCUUUGCACAUUAUCCCCAGGGUGGUGAAGUCAUUGUAUCCAUGCACAAAUUCGCACAUGUUGACAAAUACACACACAUUGAUAAAUACACAUGUGUUAUGUUACGUUUAGUUACAUAUACAAAUACACACACGUUGAUGUGUAUUGGGUUUCAUAAUGCAAAUCAUCUUUACCUUCUGACAGCUGACAUUGGUGUUCUACCGGAAAACAAAAAGUUUCUUUAAAUGUUAAGUGUGUCUGUGUGUGUGCGCAUGCAUGUUUAAGUGUGUGUGUCAGUG